UCCGUAGGUGGAUCAAUCAGUCAGAGGUGAAAUCCUGCAGCUUAACUGUAGAACUGCCUUUGAUACUGUUGAUCUUGAGUCAUUAUGAAGUGGUUAGAAUGUGUAGUGUAGCGGUGAAAUGCAUAGAUAUUACACAGAAUACCGAUUGCGAAGGCAGAUCACUAAUAAUGUACUGACACUGAGGGACGAAAGCGUGGGGAGCGAGCAGGAUUAGAUACCCUGGUAGUCC
rnacentral:rRNA from 1 species